rnacentral:rRNA from 1 species
AGAGUUUGAUCCUGGCUCAGGAUGAACGCUGGCGGCGUGCCUAACACAUGCAAGUCGAACGAAGCAAUUAAGAGGAAGUUUUCGGAUGGAAUCUUGAUUGACUGAGUGGCGGACGGGUGAGUAACGCGUGGAUAACCUGCCUCACACUGGGGGAUAACAGUUAGAAAUGACUGCUAAUACCGCAUAAGCGCACAGUACCGCAUGGUACGGUGUGAAAAACUCCGGUGGUGUGAGAUGGAUCCGCGUCUGAUUAGCCAGUUGGCGGGGUAACGGCCUACCAAAGCGACGAUCAGUAGCCGACCUGAGAGGGUGACCGGCCACAUUGGGACUGAGACACGGCCCAAACUCCUACGGGAGGCAGCAGUGGGGAAUAUUGCACAAUGGGGGAAACCCUGAUGCAGCGACGCCGCGUGAGUGAAGAAGUAUUUCGGUAUGUAAAGCUCUAUCAGCAGGGAAGAAAAUGACGGUACCUGACUAAGAAGCCCCGGCUAACUACGUGCCAGCAGCCGCGGUAAUACGUAGGGGGCAAGCGUUAUCCGGAUUUACUGGGUGUAAAGGGAGCGUAGACGGCGAAGCAAGUCUGAAGUGAAAACCCAGGGCUCAACCCUGGGACUGCUUUGGAAACUGUUUUGCUAGAGUGUCGGAGAGGUAAGUGGAAUUCCUAGUGUAGCGGUGAAAUGCGUAGAUAUUAGGAGGAACACCAGUGGCGAAGGCGGCUUACUGGACAGUAACUGACGUUGAGGCUCGAAAGCGUGGGGAGCAAACAGGAUUAGAUACCCUGGUAGUCCACGCC